rnacentral:tRNA from 1 species
GCCCAUAUGGCUUAGUUGGUAAAGCGCGUCACUAGUAAUGUAGUAAUGACGAGAUCCACGGUUCGAAUCCGUGUGUGGGCA